AGAACGAACGCUGGCGGCAUGCCUAACACAUGCAAGUCGAACGAGACCUUCGGGUCUAGUGGCGCACGGGUGCGUAACGCGUGGGAACCUGCCCUUAGGUUCGGAAUAACUCAGAGAAAUUUGAGCUAAUACCGGAUAAUGUCUUCGGACCAAAGAUUUAUCGCCUAUGGAUGGGCCCGCGUAGGAUUAGCUAGUUGGUGGGGUAAAGGCCUACCAAGGCGACGAUCCUUAGCUGGUCUGAGAGGAUGAUCAGCCACACUGGGACUGAG
rnacentral:rRNA from 1 species